GAUGGAUGGGCAGACAGACAGACAGCAGAGCCUACCUGAAGUCCCAGUCUCCUCUCCAG
rnacentral:miRNA from 1 species